GAAUCUCGCUGUUUGUAUCCAGUUUUGACAGCGGCGAUAUUGUUUCGAGUUUUCGUGCUCUCGGCGGAUUGUUUGUCCUCGCUCGACUAUUAUUAACCGUCGAACGAUGAAGAGGUCUCCGGCUGAUUAAAAUGGCCGACGCGCCUGAGAAACCGAUGGCGAAGGGAAGAACACCGUAGUUGGUGGACGUAAAACGCGAGACUCCGGUCGAACGGUCAAAGUGUGCGCGAGGGAUCUUGUGGACUACCGGAACUGUUUGCGCAGGCAGCGUCAGAUAAUGUUUCAAGGACGAAUCAGGUUCGCAGACGCAUUUGCCAAUGAAAAGAACCAUCAAUGUGAGUGACUGUCGACGUGCUGGCGCAAAGAGGUUUACCGAAGCUGCUCCGCCGGAGUAAUUUUACAUCGGACGAUCAUCUAAGCAGAGAUCAGCGAGCAAACACGACGAUUCGCACGACAAAAUGCGCCGACAAACACCUGUAAAUUACCGGCCCGCCAACGGGAUCGUAAAGUUUGGCAGAAACACAGAUCUUUGGGACCGCGAACUGUUUAUCUCAUAUUUUUAGCCGCGGACAGUCCUCUAUUUCAGUGCCUCGGGAUAUUAUCGACGCAUCGAUCUAAUAAAACAGCUGCUUCGAUUACAUCGAGGCGGAUAUAGAUUCCGGUGCAUUCUGAUUUACACAAUUGAUUAAUCAUUUUACUUUAUUUUAUCUUCGACGAAAAUUAAUAGAUCUAAUAGAAAACUGUACAAAAGAUUAGAAGAGAAGUGCUUUAAAACUUUGCGAGAAAAAAUCACAACCAAGUUUCUUUUUUCUCAAUUAAAUGCUUGUAUUUUA